CACGUAGGGGGCAAGCGUUGUCCGGAUUUAUUGGGCGUAAAGAGCUCGUAGGCGGUUCGGUAAGUUGGGUGUGAAACCUCCAGGCUCAACCUGGAGACGCCACCCGAUACUGCUGUGACUAGAGUCCGGUAGGGGAGCGUGGAAUUCCUGGUGUAGCGGUGAAAUGCGCAGAUAUCAGGAGGAACACCAGCGGCGAAGGCGGCGCUCUGGGCCGGAACUGACGCUGAGGAGCGAAAGCGUGGGUAGCAAACAGG
rnacentral:rRNA from 1 species